rnacentral:rRNA from 1 species
UACGAAGGGGGCUAGCGUUGCUCGGAAUCACUGGGCGUAAAGGGGUGCGUAGGCGGGUCUUUUAAGUCAGGGGUGAAAUCCUGGAGCUCAACUCCAGAACUGCCUUUGAUACUGAGGAUCUUGAGUUCGGGAGAGGUGAGUGGAACUGCGAGUGUAGAGGUGAAAUUCGUAGAUAUUCGCAAGAACACCAGUGGCGAAGGCGGCUCACUGGCCCGAGUACUGACGCUGAGGCACGAAAGCGUGGGGAGCAAACAGG